UACAGAGGUCUCGAGCGUUAGGCGGAAUCACUGGGCUUAAAGCGUGUGUAGGCGGAUCGUUAAGUGCCUUGUGAAAUCCCACGGCUCAACCGUGGAACUGCUUGGCAUACUGGCGGUCUUGAGCAACCUAGGGGCGAGCGGAACAAAUGGUGGAGCGGCGAAAUGCGUAGAUAUCAUUUGGAACGCCAAUGGUGAAAACAGCUCGCUGGGGGUUUGCUGACGCUGAGACACGAAAGCCAGGGGAGCAAACGGG
rnacentral:rRNA from 1 species